GAUGAACGCUGGCGGCGUGCCUAAUACAUGCAAGUCGAGCGAACGGACGAGAAGCUUGCUUCUCUGAUGUUAGCGGCGGACGGGUGAGUAACACGUGGAUAACCUACCUAUAAGACUGGGAUAACUUCGGGAAACCGUAGCUAAUACCGGAUAAUAUUUUGAACCGCAUGGUUCAAAAGUGAAAGACGGUCUUGCUGUCACUUAUAGAUGGAUCCGCGCUGCAUUAGCUAGUUGGUAAGGUAACGGCUUACCAAGGAAACGAUGCAUAGCCGACCUGAGAGGGUGAUCGGCCACACUGGAACUGAGACACGGUCCAGACUCCUACGGGAGGCAGCAGUAGGGAAUCUUCCGCAAAGGGCGAAAGCCUGACGGAGCAACGCCGCGUGAGUGAUGAAGGUCUUCGGAUCGUAAAACUCUGUUAUUAGGGAAGAACAUAUGUGUAAGUAACUGUGCACAUCUUGACGGUACCUAAUCAGAAAGCCACGGCUAACUACGUG
rnacentral:rRNA from 1 species